rnacentral:rRNA from 1 species
ACUCCUACGGGAGGCAGCAGUGGGGAAUUUUGGACAAUGGGGGCAACCCUGAUCCAGCCAUGCCGCGUGAGUGAAGAAGGCCUUCGGGUUGUAAAGCUCUUUCAGUUGGGAAGAAAAGGUGCCCUCUAACAUAGGGUGCUGCUGACGGUACCGACAGAAGAAGCACCGGCUAACUACGUGCCAGCAGCCGCGGUAAUACGUAGGGUGCGAGCGUUAAUCGGAAUUACUGGGCGUAAAGCGUGCGCAGGCGGUUCGCUAAGACAGGUGUGAAAUCCCCGGGCUUAACCUGGGAACUGCGCUUGUGACUGGCGGGCUAGAGUACGGCAGAGGGGGGUGGAAUUCCACGUGUAGCAGUGAAAUGCGUAGAGAUGUGGAGGAACACCGAUGGCGAAGGCAGCCCCCUGGGCCGAUACUGACGCUCAUGCACGAAAGCGUGGGGAGCAAACAGGAUUAGAUACCCUGGUAGUC